UUUACAAGCUGCUCAUGAACUAUUUGAGGCUUGGCUCUAUAAAAGUUCAGCUUGGCUUUAUUCUAUCCAUUGACUAAACGAGCCGAGCUCGAGUCUAAAGCUUAUUUCUUUUUGGUUCAUUAAGGGUCGCGAGCUCACUUAUUUUAUAGGUUCAAGAGCCAGCUUGUGAACAAGCUUGUAAAGUGGCUCGUUUAACUAAAAUUAUUUAGUUUUUAAAUAUGUUAUCUUAAACCUAAUCAAAACUAUAUAGUUUUGAAUUUCAUAGCCAUAAAUCUAAAACUUGUUAGAGUCGUAAAUAAGUCGAGCUGCUCGAGAAUCAGCUCGAUAAAAACUUGGCUUUGCUUGGCUCAUUUUUUAAAUAAGCCAGCUCAAAAAAAUUUUGACAAGCCAAGCUUGAGCUCUUCAAAGUUUGGUUUGGCUCAAUUCAUUUACAUCCCUAGUGGUGCAGUCAGUUGGGGAAAGGAAUGGAUUGUGAUGGACAUUGCGAUGGUUUAGGAACACAAGAAAGAGGGCACAACAGGGACAAAAAUCACGGAAAAAAAAUGGAAAACAAGAUUUUCUCUGAUUAAUUUAGUUGGGACACAGGAAAAAUGAAUUCAAAAACUUUGAUACCACAUUAAUGUAAAACCAAUAGAAAAUACCAAAGGAAAAAAGAAACAAGCUGUGAAAUUUAUUAAUUCUCAAUUUUCAAUAAUAAUAGCUAUGGAAAAAUGCCUAAAUUACAUAGGUAUUUAUAG
rnacentral:misc_RNA from 1 species